AGAGUUUGAUCCUGGCUCAGGAUGAACGCUGGCGGCGUGCAUAACACAUUCAAGUCGAACGGACGACUCGGAGCUUGCUCCGGGAAGUUAGUGGCGGACGGGUGAGUAACGCGUGAGCAACCUGCCUGUGUGAGCGGAAUAACGUCCGGAAACAGACGCUAAUACCGCAUGACUCACGGACUUCGCAUGGAGACCGUGGCAAAGAUUUAUCGCACACAGAUGGGCUCGCGUCCGAUUAGGCAGUUGGUGAGGUAACGGCUCACCAAACCGACGAUCGGUAGCCGGACUGAGAGGUUGAACGGCCACAUUGGAACUGAGAAACGGUCCAGACUCCUACGGGAGGCA
rnacentral:rRNA from 1 species